GACAGAGGGGGCGAGCGUUGUCCGGAGUCACUGGGCGUAAAGCGCGCGCAGGCGGCAACCUAAGUGUCGUGUGAAAGCCCCCGGCUCAACCGGGGGAGGCCAUGGCAAACUGGGUCGCUCGAGCUGCGGAGAGGCCCCUCGAAUUGCCGGUGUAGCGGUGAAAUGCGUAGAGAUCGGCAGGAAGACCAAGGGGGAAGCCAGGGGGCUGGCCGCAGGCUGACGCUGCGGGGCGACAGCGUGGGGAGCAAACCGG
rnacentral:rRNA from 1 species